rnacentral:rRNA from 1 species
AGAGUUUGAUCCUGGCUCAGAUUGAACGCUGGCGGUAUGCCUUACACAUGCAAGUCGAACGGUAGAGGAGCAAUCCUCGAGAGUGGCGAACGGGUGAGUAAUACAUCGGAACGUGCCCAGUCGUGGGGGACAACGUAGCGAAAGCUACGCUAAUACCGCAUACGACCCGAGGGUGAAAGCGGGGGACUCGCAAGAGCCUCGCGCGAUUGGAGCGGCCGAUGGCAGAUUAGGUAGUUGGUGGGGUAAAGGCCCACCAAGCCUGCGAUCUGUAGCUGGUCUGAGAGGACGACCAGCCACACUGGGACUGAGACACGGCCCAGACUCCUACGGGAGGCAGCAGUGGGGAAUUUUGGACAAUGGGCGAAAGCCUGAUCCGGCCAUACCGCGUGCGGGAAGAAGGCCUUCGGGUUGUAAACCGCUUUUGUCAGGGAAGAAAUACUUCGGGCUAAUACCCUGGGGUGAUGACGGUACCUGAAGAAUAAGCACCGGCUAACUACGUGCCAGCAGCCGCGGUAAUACGUAGGGUGCAAGCGUUAAUCGGAAUUACUGGGCGUAAAGCGUGCGCAGGCGGUUCUAUAAGACAGAUGUGAAAUCCCCGGGCUCAACCUGGGAACUGCAUUUGUGACUGUAGAGCUAGAGUACGG